UUCAUAGAUUGGUGUUUAUGUUUGCCUAUGGAAUUUCUCUGUACAGUCACUGGCAUGGAGGAAGGAAGAUAAGCCAGAAGUCACACUGAGCAUAUCUGUGAAGACUUGGGUGUGGACACAUCCAGAGGAAGUAGGUUACUGUGGUUCCAGGGAGAGUACCUUCCAACUUGGAUGUGUUGUAGAAGCUCUGCUGGAUAAGAAUCCCUGCAGAGUAAUCUCAUGGCCUCUCUCCAGAGGAAGCUGCUAUUUCUUUAUCCUGUGAAGCAUAAAGAAUGUUUUGUGGCAUAUCUGAGGAAUAAAUAUGGCUCUUUGUGCAUCUGCUUUGCUUUGUGAGCAGAAUUUUUAUAUAUAUUCUAGGCCACAGGCAUGAUCUUUCUCAUGUAAGCAGCAGCACAUGCAGUCUUACUUACUUGUGAAAUGAGCAUGGAAAGUUAACUCAAGCUGCACUCAGGAGGGAAUAGUGUCCACCAUAAGGUCAAAACCCUUCUAUGUGAAGUCCUCUUCAGCAUCUGAUAUUCUGACUCAGAAAAUGGAGUCUUUUCAGGCACUGAAAGUUUUGCUUCUCUCCUUUCAAAUCCUGACUUGCCAAGAGGAGUGCCAAGAGAAGCUUCUCAGUUUCAGGAGGUACCAUGCCAAGUCAUACAGCCACUUUG